UACGUAGGGUGCAAGCGUUUAAUCGGAAUUACUGGGCGUAAAGCGUGCGCAGGCGGCUUUGCAAGACAGAUGUGAAAAUCCCCCGGGCUCAACCUGGGAAUUGCAUUUGAGACUGCGUAGCUAGGGUGCGGAAGAGGGAAGCGGAAUUUCCGGUGUAGCGGUGAAAUGCGUAGAUAUCGGAAGGAACACCAGUGGCGAAAGCGGCUUCCUGGUCCAGCACCGACGUUCAGGCACGAAAGCGUGGGGAGCAAACAGGG
rnacentral:rRNA from 1 species